UGAGGAAUAUUGGACAAUGGGCGCAAGCCUGAUCCAGCAAUGCCGCGUGCAGGAUGAAGGCCUUCGGGUUGUAAACUGCUUUUGUACGGAGCGAAAAGGUCUGCCCUAAUACGGUGGGCUCAUGACGGUACCGUAAGAAUAAGCACCGGCUAACUACGUGCCAGCAGCCGCGGUAAUACGUAGGGUGCGAGCGUUAAUCGGAAUUACUGGGCGUAAAGCGUGCGCAGGCGGUUAUAUAAGACAGAUGUGAAAUCCCCGGGCUCAACCUGGGACCUGCAUUUGUGACUGUAUAGCUAGAGUACGGUAGAGGGGGAUGGAAUUCCGCGUGUAGCAGUGAAAUGCGUAGAUAUGCGGAGGAACACCGAUGGCGAAGGCAAUCCCCUGGACCUGUACUGACACUCAUGCACGAAAGCGUGGGGAGCAAACA
rnacentral:rRNA from 1 species